GAUGAACGCUGGCGGCGUGCCUAAUACAUGCAAGUCGAGCGAACGGACGAGAAGCUUGCUUCUCUGAUGUUAGCGGCGGACGGGAGAGUAACACGUGGAUAACCUACCUAUAAGACUGGGAUAACUUCGGGAAACCGGAGCUAAUACCGGAUAAUAUUUUGAACCGCAUGGUUCAAAAGUGAAAGACGGUCUUGCUGUCACUUAUAGAUGGAUCCGCGCUGCAUUAGCUAGUUGGUAAGGUAACGGCUUACCAAGGCAACGAUGCAUAGCCGACCUGAGAGGGGGAUCGGCCCCGCUGCAACUGAGACACGGUCCAGACUCCGACGGGAGGCAGCCGUAGGGAAUCUUCCGCGAUGGGCGAAAGCCUGACGGAGCAACGCCGCGUGAGUGAUGAAGGUCUUCGGAUCGUAAAACACUGUUAUUAGGGAAGAACAUAUGUGUAAGUAACUGUGCACAUCUUGACGGUACCUAGUCAGAAAGCCACGGCUAACUACGUG
rnacentral:rRNA from 1 species